rnacentral:lncRNA from 10 species
AGGGAAGGCAUCGAGCUUGAGGAAGAGGCCCCAUUCAUCUCCGUACCCCAGGCCCUGGUACACAGCAGCAAGAAUGCGGUGUGUCAGGAGAAGCAAAUCCCAAAUGAGAUAAACCUGCCAGUAAUUUCAGCAAAUGAAACGUGGAACACGUCAAGGCCAGAGGAUGGAAAAGGCUCCAGUUUUGAUAAAAGGAGGCCUGCUUGGCUUGGAAUCCUCUCUCCUGCUGGUUGGGAGAUGCAAAGAUGUUUCCAGAGAGGGGCUGAUGAAUUGAGGGGAAAGAAAUGAGCCCAGUAUGAGUCCCCUUUCAGGGCUGAGCGUGUAUAAAACCAAACAACUUGGAACCGCUCCAAGAGAGGGGAUUAAAGCAACAUGUUAUUCU